GACGAACGCUGGCGGCGUGCUUAACACAUGCGAGUCGAACGGAAAGGCCCUGCUUUUGUGGGGUGCUCGAGUGGCGAACGGGUGAGUAACACGUGAGUAACCUGCCCUUGACUUUGGGAUAACUUCAGGAAACUGGGGCUAAUACCGGAUAGGAGCUCCUGCUGCAUGGUGGGGGUUGGAAAGUUUCUGCGGUUGGGGAUGGACGCGCGGCUUAUCAGCUUGUUGGUGGGGUAGUGGCUUACCAAGGCUUUGACGGGUAGCCGGCCUGAGAGGGUGAACGGCCACAUUGGGACUGAGAUACGGCCCAGAGUGCUACGGGAGGCAGCAGUGGGGAAUAUUGCACAAUGGGCGGAAGCCUGAUGCAGCAACGCCGCGUGCGGGAUGACGGCCUUCGGGUUGUAAACCGCUUUCGCCUGUGACGAAGCGUGAGUGACGGUAAUGGGUAAAGAAGCACCGGCUAACUACGUG
rnacentral:rRNA from 1 species